AAACUGGGAGUAAUGCCUUAUAAGAUACGUUUGUCGCAUGGCAUUUGUAUUAAACGCUCCGGCGCCAUAGGAUGGACCCGCGUCCCAUUAGCUAGUUGGUGAGAUAACAGCUCACCAAGGCCACGAUGGGUAACCGGUCUGAGAGGGCGAACGGUCACACUGGAACUGAGACACGGUCCAGACUCCUACGGGAGCCAGCAGUGGGGAAUAUUGCGCAAUGGGGGCAACCCUGACGCAGCAAUACCGCGUGAGUGAAGAAGGUUUUCGGAUCGUAAAGCUCUGUUAUUGGGGAAGAAAAAAAGACGGUACCCAAGAAGAAAGUUCCGGCUAACUACGUGCCAGCAGCCGCGGUAAUACGUAGGGAACAAGCGUUGUCCGGAUUUACUGGGCGUAAAGGGCACGCAGGCGGUUUUUUAAGUCAGAUGUGAAAGGCCACAGCUCAACUGUGGACAUGCAUUUGAAACUGAAAGACUUGAGUAUUGGAGAGGCAAGUGGAAUUCCUAGUGUAGCGGUGAAAUGCGUAGAUAUUAGGAGGAACACCGGUGGGA
rnacentral:rRNA from 1 species